GGCAAUACUGCAGUUAUAUAAUCCUUCGUUCUUUUAGUUUUCGCAACUUUCGAUUUGUAAACACUGCAGGAUUUUUGAGCAAUUUCUCCAACCAAAUAACUAACUAUGGAUCUGGUGAGUCAAUUUACAGUUAAAUCUUUGAAUAGAGUAGAUAUUUACGCGGUUUUAACGUUUCCACAUCGAAUUCAAGUGACCGAUAUUUUUUAUAUGUGGCGGCUCAGCCAGUCUGUUAUCUGCUGUAUAAUGUACCUAUAUUGUACUACUGUGCCGUGUGCGCGCAAUCUAUACAUGAUAUCUUGCUUUUUUUCAAAAGGUUCGCUCAUUUAAACUUAACACCGGAGCAGUAAUGCCUUCAAUUGGCCUGGGGUAAGCAAUUACAUGCGUUGAUAGAAUUGUAUGUUAUUGUAUAUUGUACAGAGUGUAUCAUGCUGUCAUGGUACACUGCAUUUCGAAUGUGUACAAAACAAUUUACAUUUGUUAACACCUUUACACAUAAGGAAUGUUGCUGACAGGGUAAUUAGAAUGUUUCCUACACUGGAUCAAUAAGAGAUGAUCCUUACUGGACCUCUAGAGAGAACAGUUUAGAAGUGCUAGAGCUUCCAGUAUAAAUAAAGUUUAAUAGUUUAGUUUAGGUUUCCUCCUGUAGUAAUACUGGAUCAAUAAGAGAUCAUCCUUACUGAACCUCUAGGAAGAACAGUUUAGAACUGAUAGAGCUAUCCAGUAUAAAUAAAGUUAGUUUAGUUUAGGUUUCCUCCUGUAGUAACACUGGAUCAAUAAGAGAUGAUCCUUACUGGACCUCUAGGAAGAACAGUUUAGAACUGAUAGAGCUAUCCAGUAUAAAUAAAGUUAGUUUAGUUUAGGUUUCCUCCUGUAGUUGACUACUGGAUCAAUAAGAGAUGAUCCUUACUGGACCUAUAGGAAGAACAGUUUAGAACUGCCAGAGCUUCCAGUAUAAAUAAAGUUAGUUUAGUUUAUGUUUCCUCUUGUAGUAACACUGGAUCAAUAAGAGAUGAUACUUACUGGACCUCUAGGGAGAACAGUUUAGAACUGAUAGAGCUAUCCAGUAGAAGUUUAGUUCAUAGUAACUCAGCUACGUAAGUAAAAUGCCUCUGUAUUAACAAGCCCUAAAUCACUUUAUCUCAUGCAGAACAUGGAAAUCAAAGCCAGGCGAGGUUGGCAAGGCUGUCAAAGCAGCGAUCAGAGCCGGGUACAAACACAUUGACUGUGCUCAUUACUAUGGUAACGAAGCGGAGAUCGGGCAGGCUCUUGCCGAGGUCUUGAAGGAAGUUGGUAUGAAGCGAGAAGACAUAUUUAUUACCUCAAAAUUGUGGCAUGAAAUACAUGU